CUUUGUAAUCUGGCAGCUUCGCUGUCCGAGUUGUAGUCUCGAGAAGUGUUUUCCGCGCUGGAUCGUGUAUGAGUCUGUUGGAAUACAGCGUCAUAGAGGGUGAGAACCCCGUUCGUGACACGACUACCAGUGCUUUGUGAUACAUUUUCGAUGAGUCGAGUUGUUUGGGAAUGCAGCUCAAAUUGGGUGGUAAAUUCCAUCUAAAGCUAAAUAUUGGCGAGAGACCGAUAGCAAACAAGUACCGUGAGGGAAAGAUGAAAAGCACUUUGGAAAGAGAGUUAACAGUACGUGAAAUUGUUGAAAGGGAAACGUUUGAAGUCAGACGUGCGUUGUGCGAUUCAGCUCCGGUUCGCCGGAGUGUAUUUCGUACUAUUGCAGGCCAGCAUCGGUUUGGCGAGCCGGAUAAAGGUUAGAGAAAGGUAGCGGUCCAGGCCGUGUUAUAGUCUUUAACUGAAUACGGAUUGCUAGACCGAGGGACGCAGCGCGCCGCAAGGCAAAGCUUUCGGGCUUUUCGCGCUUAGGAUGCUGGUGAAAUGGCUUUAAAUGACCCGUCUUGAAACACGGACCAAGGAGUCUAACAUGCUUGCGAGUGUUUGGGUGUCAAACCCAUACGCGUAAUGAAAGUGAAUGGAGGUGGGAUCCUUUACCGGAGCACCAUCGACCGAUCCGGAUUUUUAAUGAUGGAUUUGAGUAAGAGCACGUAUGUUGGGACCCGAAAAGAUGGUGAACUAUGCCUGAAUAGGGUGAAGCCAGAGGAAACUCUAGUGGAGGCUCGUAGCGGUUCUGACGUGCAAAUCGAUCGUCAAAUUUGGGUAUAGGGGCGAAAGACUAA
rnacentral:rRNA from 1 species